GUCUUCCUUCCCCUUCACUCUUUGCUUCCUCCCUACAACCAAACAGAACAAAAUGGCUAUUGGAAUGAAUGCCUGGACUGUUUCUUCUCCCACCUGUAGACAUUACCACCUGGGUGGGUGGGGCCCCUUGUUCCUUUGCCUCCUUUCCCUAGCUCCCUACUGAAAGAACACAGGUGCAGUUACCGAUAGAUUAUUCAUUGGGAUGCACCGGCCAGUCCUUCAUUUACUAAAGUAGAACAGGUUCCUCAAGCAAGGCCUUAGCUGAGUUGGUGAGGGACUCAGCCUCUUUCUGGCAGCUCCACUGACUCAGGGAAGGCAUCUUGCUGCCUCGAUGCCUGGUUGGUAAUGGAGCCUGGAAAAUCCAUGCAUGUGCAGCUCAAGUUCUCCAACAGUCUGCUCUCUGUGGUACUUUGGGCUUGAGGGGCUUGACUGGAGAACCUGGACUAUUCCUGUGGAUGCCUUAGGGGAGAGCAAGACAAGGUGUAAAGCAUUUCCACUACUCCGGAAGGUUCCUGGGGGUUCCUGUUUCUAAUUGGCCUAGAUACCAUAUAGGCUCUUGGUGGUCCUAAAAUUAACAGAGGCCUCCAGUUUCAGAGAGAAUCACAACAAAACAGUGUGGUACUGGUGACCCCCAUCCCUAACAGAGGGUCACCAGCCACAGAGCAGAUUUCUUAAGCCUUCUUGGUCCCUUUCCAAACCACAGCAAGAGAACUAAGCUCUGAGAAGGGAGGGGCCGGCAGUAUCGGAGUCAGGUCCCAUCCCCCACACUAAAACCACACACAGACAUUCCAAGCCUACCCCAGGGAAGCAGAGAAGAGCUUUGAAUCCCUUCUGAUAUUAGUUUGGACAAAUUUUAAUAACUAAAAUGACCUUAGAGAUAUCAAAUCUGUCUAAUACUAAGAUGGAAAGGAUGAGUUGACAGAACGUGGUUGAAAGCAGUGCUUAAAAAAUAUAUCAAGCCAUUUUCUUAUAUUUCCUUCUUCACGUUGAGGCUCCUCAAAUAAACUGGUUGCUGAAAAUGUAUAGUAGUUUAGUUUCUGUAAAUUUUAAAUGUAGAGACUAAACAACACUACAGAGAGAAAAAGAAAUGGGCAAAAAGCUUCAACUUUUUCUAGUUCUCUCCCAGAGGGUGUUCCUUUUUAUGGAUAGAGACUAGGUGUUUUAUGUGGGGUCCUGACACCAGCAGUGCCCAAGCUGCAGGCUCUGAUCAGCCCCUCUGCCUCUCUAGUCUCAGCUUCCUUGUCCAUCAGAUGCCCCACAGUACUGGCCCCCCAGCUGCUCCCAAUUUUCCCUUGACUUGCUUGUGAAUGAUUCACAAGCUGAUCUUUUAUAGGGGCCAGAGCAGCUGAAACACAUGAAAUGUAGAUUAAACACAACUCAAAUAGUUACCCCACAUAAAACACCAGUUACAUAAGCAAAGAGAGUCUUUCACUCCAGGGUUUGUGUGUUACUCUGGAAGUCAGACUAAAUCUCUCCCAAAGUGGAGAUACUGGAUAGACAUUGAUGCUGCAGCAGGAGCCUGAUGUGGUGGCUGUGGGAUGGGUCACCUGGGCCCCCUGAAGUCUCCGCCCCCUUGAUGCUGGCAGCCAGCAGCUGGCUUUUCCACCGCAGCUCUUUUGCCAUCCCAGUAUUAAAGAAAGAGAGAGGAAAUACACCAAAUCUCCUAUUGAAGUAGAUACUUAUGGCUUCUUUUUCUUCCCCUUAAAAUGUUUCUAAAAAAUUAAAAAAUAACAAUAAAAAAGAAAGGAAGGAAGGAAGGAGAAAGAAACAAAGGAAAACAUUUUAGUUGCAGUUGAAAUGCCUCCCCAACCUCUCCCCAAAGGAAUCCUUUCUUGGUUGAAAUAUGAAUUGCACAUGUGUCCUGUUCAUUCUCCUGAUUCUUUCUGGCGGCUGUGGCUGUCCCUCUCGUUGGCGUGGCAACAACAGAGGCUUGGGUUUGGACUUGGGGCUGGAGAUGAAGACGUAGCUUUUCCAUUGGCUGUGGUUUUGGCCGUGAAGUUAAUCCUUCUACUCAGAAUGUUCUGUGCUAUGUUGUGCUGCGUUUUAAUUCCACAAAGAACCCCGUGGGCACUGACCAGCCCGGCUCCCACUCUCCAGAGCACCUGUGAGUCCCCCUUGGCUUUGAAGCUUUCUUGGAGGUCGGUCCAAAUGUCUCCCGCACACAUCGCGGGGGAGAAUGGAGGUUCUUAGAAGAUGCUGAGUCUCUGUGGACAAACUAUUUCCAGAUUUCCCUUUUAGGCCACUCAAUUCCUCUCUCCAGGGGAAUCAAGAUUUCCUUUUUACGUUUGCAGACUGUUCAUAUGCAAUCCCAAAGAUCCUUGGGGUAUGUGAGCAGAAGGCAACUGGACUAUUUUCAAAAGGACAUGUGACUAAACUCUUGAAAUAUCUGCUGAAAGGAACUACUAGGCGCUCACUACCUCUAUUUAGUGAUUAGAAACUCUCUGAUCAAUUACGGAAGGCCUGAAAUUUCAUGUUAUCUUCUCCACCCAUCCUCCCAGGUCUUCGCUGACUUAUGGUUUGUUCUCCACUUCCUAUGUCAACAGCAUUAAUUUAAAAAUUCAGCUACAGCUGUGCUAUAGCCUCUUUCCAUGCUGAGGGCACGAUUCUUUUCGUUUAUCUUGUUUUCCACUUCAACUCUUAAUUUUUUCUUGUCUUGUAAGAAUGUUAUUGUUUAUCUCACGUAAUUGUUUGCUUUGAAACUUGGGUUUCAAAAACAAUUUUUAGUACUCCCUUCAGAAGGCUUACCCAACUCUGUAACCAAUUGGUGUCAGCUCAAGAGGAUGGAUAUGGAAGGGGACAAAAUUGUUCACUUUUUCUUU
ensembl:lncRNA